GACGAACGCUGGCGGCGUGCUUAACACAUGCAAGUCGAGCGGGGUCCAUCCAGCAGCAAUGCUGGUGAAGGCCUAGCGGCGAACGGGUGAGUAACACGCGAGCAACCUGCCCCGAACUUCGGGAUAACACCGGGAAACCGGUGCUAAUACCGGGUACCCCCACCUGACCGCACGAUCGGGCGAGGAAAGAACUCCGCUUCGGGAGGGGCUCGCGUCCGAUUAGCUAGUUGGCAAGGUAACGGCCCACCAAGGCAACGAUCGGUAGCCGGCCUGAGAGGGCGGACAGUCACACUGAGACUGAGACACGGCCCAGACUCCUACGGGAGGCAGCAGUAAGGAAUUUUUCGCAAUAGGGGAAACCCUGACGAAGCAACGCCGCGUGGAAGAUGAAGGCCUUCGGGUCGUAAACUCCUGUCGACCGGGAAGAAUGCACCUGACCUAAUACGUCGGCGUGUUGACUGUACCGGUGGAGGAAGCCACGGCUAACUC
rnacentral:rRNA from 1 species